GGGGGUAUAGCUCAGUGGUAGAGCAUUUGACUGCAGAUUAAGAGGUUCCCUGGUUCAAAGCCGGGUGCCCCCU
rnacentral:tRNA from 2 species